GGAGGCAGCCCAGUCGGGGGGCGGGCUAACGCCCGCGGAGGUUCGAAUCCUUCCUCCUCCG
rnacentral:tRNA from 1 species